AUAUAUGUCUUUACUGCCACGACGAGUCAGGCAUCGUAAGGCGCCCUGAGGGCAACAUAAGGUUUUCAAAGAGAUCACAAAACAAGGUUGUUUUCUACAAAUGACCUAUUACAUGGCUCUGAUGGCCAAAUCCAUGAAGAACUAUUCUGCUCAUGUCCUUGGGUCAGUUUGCUUUGAGCUUUGGCCGACUUCAAGUUGUAAGUCGCCCAACACCCAAUUACAUUUGGACAAAGCGGCAAAUUCAUCUUCAUCAUUCAGAAAUGUCGAGAGACCCGCCUCCAAAUCAAAAGUAUUCUUGGGUCGACGCGGCGUCAAGCUGGUUGUAACAAGGUUGGCGGAUUAACUCUCUUAUUGUUGUCGUCAUAAGCAGCUUGAUACUUUGACAAAUCCAAACUUGAAGCAAGCUGAGUCGCCGCCGAGCGAGAUUCUCUGACAACGCGCUGAUAAUCGUCUUGAGUAAAUUCUGACCCAUCGUCCUUGAGCUGAGGAAAGCCUGCUGUUACUUCUUCGGGUUUUAGCUCUGGAGCAUACGCUAAGCACCGACUUAGCGUAGUGAGUACCCCUUUCCGGGC
rnacentral:lncRNA from 1 species